GACAGAGACGAGAGGGGCAAGGGAGGACAGUGGAUGACAGGGAAGACGAGUGGGGGCAGAGCUGCUCAGGACCAUGGCUGAGGCCAUCACCUAUGCAGAUCUGAGACCCAGGGGCUGAUGAUGAUGAGGAAAUCACCUACGAGAAUGUUCAAGUGCCCGCAGUCCUAGGGGUGCCCUCAAGCUUGGCUUCUUCUGUACUAGGGGACAAAGCAGCGGUCAAGUCGGAGCAGCCAACUGCGUCCUGGAGAGCCGUGACGUCACCAGCUGUCGGGCGGAUUCUCCCCUGUGAGUGCCUGUGCGGGGCAGCCGCGGGGCCAAGUGCUCGCGCCUGUCCCGGCUGCGGAUGGCGCUGGGCCCCGCGGGGUGCAGCUCUUUCCGGGAUAAACCCGGGCGCAGUCCUUCCGACCGCCCGGGCUGCCUUGCCACAUUCACCUUCAUCCGGUGCGCCUGAAUCCGACGUGCACCGCCCCCCUGCGGAUGGUCCCAAUUCACCUACCUGCCCCCCUUCCCCUCUCUCCGUCUGAUAUUUCCUUCCCCUUCUCCCAGGUAACGCCCCCGAGUCCCCA
rnacentral:sRNA from 1 species